UGGGGUUUAGGUUACACAAACCGGCUACCUUCAAAGCAGCAAACAAGUAAUUUAUACUUAACCCUAG
rnacentral:tRNA from 1 species